UGGGUCCCCAGAUGUUGUUGGACUACAACUCCCAUCACCUCUAGCUAGCAAAGCUCAGGGAUGAUGGGAGUUGUAGUCCAACAACAUCUGGGGACCCA